ACUACUGUUUACACAUUAUCCCCUACCUUCUUCGUAAUACCUCCCCUUCGAGAGCAUUCUUGUCCCCAAGAAUAUUACAAGUCAGGAAAUUGGCGUUGAAUAAAAGCUCUGUCUUCCCAAGUAGCAUCCUCUAGUGGCAAAUUGGUCCAUUUAUUGAGGUCCUGAACCAUAGACUGGUUGUUUUUGGUAAUAGUCCUAGAUUGAAGGAUUUUUUUAGGAGCCACUAUAACUUCCUCGUCUUGAAAAGUUGGCAGUUGCAACUGAGGAACCACUUGAUCUCCUAACUUCUUCAUUAACAAGAGGCAUGGAAAACAGGGUGAAUUGCUGCUGUAGGAGGCAACUUCAGUUUGUAGGUAUUAUGGAAAGUCA
rnacentral:misc_RNA from 1 species